rnacentral:lncRNA from 1 species
CAAUGGGCCCCAGGAGGGCCGGGGUCAGCCCUUUUGUGUCUGGCAAAGAGCCUCUUUAUCUGCUGAGGAAGAUUUACGUUCCCGUGUGUCACGGUUCUGAAGCGGGUCACCAGGGCCGCCAUGAGUCACAGCCAGACCCUUUGCCGCGUGGCUCGGUGGUGCCUCCAGAUGAAGUAAUUGGAGUGUCUACCCACCACCCAUCGGUGCCAGGCUCGCCAGGGCCCAGGGAAGCGGGUGGACACGCUGGCGCGGCUGGCUUGCCCUCUUCACCUGCCUGACAAGAGCGUGGCCCAGCAGCUCCUGCUCUGUGAGCCUGGGUCUUGGAGUUAAUGGCUGUGGAGGAGACCCGAGGGCAACCGGAAGUCUGGGGUCAGCCAUUGAGCCGAGCCGGGGUCAGUCACCCCACGGCCAUCCCGCAGACCAUGCCCACCGAGCGAGCAUCGGAUGCGGCCGCUGAAGCCUGGGAGCUGUUUCUAAUCCAGCCCUUUCUGCACCUGAAUCUUUAAUAUAAGUAGGAGUAAAUGAGGCGGUUUAAAACAUGCCUGCACA